AAAUCAUCGUAACAGAUCACUGACAACACCAAACAGAUGUUGACUUUCAAAUUAAAUUUGGUUUUAAAUGACUCAGCUGUUAUUGGCGAUAAUGUUGCUGUUACCGAAACAGCAUAAAAUAAAACUGGACUAUCUCUUUUUAAACACAGCAUGAACAGCGUCAUAAGUACAAACCACAGGAUCUGUGAGAAAUUAUUUCAGGCCUUUCCUGUAUUCCUGUUUCCUGAUGGGCGCGGAGUGAAAAAAGGAUGGAAUGGGUUUUCAGGAUCGUAUGCUACGAUGAGUACCACACAACUACUAGCUCUUUGAGAUUUGAGAGGUUUUGGGAGACCGCUUAUUUUUGAAGCAGUGUAUGUAAUAUGGGACAUGUUUGUUUGUGAAUAGCAGAGAGUCUUUGCUGUCAGUGUGUGUGGAUUUUCGAGUGCUAAUAACCUCCUUCUUUGUCUUACUAACAUUCAGCUGGAGAGAAUUACUGUUACACCACUGUAUGAUAUGAACCGUUGGCUCAUCACAGAGUUUUAGUCAUUAAGGAGUUUAAGUAUAUCAUUUGGGGAUGGAGGAAACAUCCCACAGGUUUGCCUCUUGGCCUCGUAGAAGAAUCAGAAAAUCCAACCCGUCUUCAUAAAAUCCAGACAGACAGGCUGACAUGCUGCAGGUAGGUGACAGCUGCUGUACUGUCCUAAAGGAGUGGAGAGGCCAGGCGUGUCCUAGGGUGAAACCUGAUCUGACAGAGUUUCAGCCCCUGGACAGCUAUUUGCACGUCCUCAGCUAAGUCUUAUCAACACAGAAAGAUGAGGGCCUAUAAAGUGACUUUCACAAUCCUGGUCAUGCUGGCUGGGAUGGUUCACAGGAGAAACACUCCCCCUAUCACCAUCAGCAGCAGGGACGUUCAGACCAAACAUGACACGUCUCGCACCAACCUCAUUAUCUUGUCAAAGGUCUCUGUCUUGAAUGUUACCCAGACCCGGGACCCAAAGAACAACAACUAAAGAUGAAAAGGAGACACCAGUGGAUCCAAAGGGAGAAGAUCCAGGCUCAUAGCAACAAUGUCACAGGAAAUCCUUAUUAACUGCAGCUCUGUAUAGCUGCUGAGUUUGUUUUGUUUUUUGUUAUGGUACAUUUCAGUAGGUACAUUACAUAUAUUCCAUGGUACAUUAUAUACAUGAAUUAUUAAUAUAGUAUAGCUGGUAGGAUUUUAAAGUUUCUUACUUUGGUAAAGUAUCAAGGACUAAAUACAGCAUAGAAAUAGUUGUAGAUAGAAAAUAAAACUUAAAUGUAAGAUUUAAGGUUUUAGAUUUAGAUCACAUUUUAGAGUUUAAAUUAAGAUUUCUUCUUUGAGUAAUGGAUUUAGUACAGUAAUCAAAAUGAUGAUCUAAAUGUUCUAAAGAGGAAAAUAAGCCACAAACAGCCUAAGAUACAGAAUGAUUGCUCUGUAUCAAACAGACAAAAUUAUCAUUAAUUUGUAGUCCUCUGUUUUCUUGUGAGAAAACAUCUGGCCAGUGUAAUAAAAGUCCUGCACAGCUGCAUGAAGUAUGAACAAAACUGAAAAAAGUCAUGAUGCCACAAAAUGUUGCAAUUUAUAAUGAUAAACCACUGAUUGUGUUGUGAAGGUACAAAGUGAAUGUGAAAAUAAAAAUGCCACUGUACGGUAUCAAAAAUAGAUUUUCUUGUUAUAAUGAAAUGUACUAAUUAAAGUUUAUUAUCACAAAU